AUUGAACGCUGGCGGCAUGCCUUACACAUGCAAGUCGAACGGUAACAGGUCUUCGGAUGCUGACGAGUGGCGAACGGGUGAGUAAUACAUCGGAACGUGCCUAGUAGUGGGGGAUAACUACUCGAAAGAGUGGCUAAUACCGCAUGAGAUCUACGGAUGAAAGCAGGGGAUCGCAAGACCUUGUGCUACUAGAGCGGCCGAUGGCAGAUUAGGUAGUUGGUGGGGUAAAAGCUUACCAAGCCGACGAUCUGUAGCUGGUCUGAGAGGACGAUCAGCCACACUGGGACUGAGACACGGCCCAGACUCCUACUGGAGGCAGCAGUGGGGAAUUUUGGACAAUGGGCGCAAGCCUGAUCCAGCAAUGCCGCGUGCAGGAUGAAGGCCUUCGGGUUGUAAACUGCUUUUGUACGGAACGAAAAGCCCUGGGUUAAUACCCUGGGGUCAUGACGGUACCGUAAGAAUAAGCACCGGCUAACUACGUGCCAGCCGCCGCCGUAAAAC
rnacentral:rRNA from 1 species